rnacentral:rRNA from 1 species
GAUGAACGCUGGCGGCGUGCCUAAUACAUGCAAGUCGAACGAAACUUCUUUAUCACCGAGUGCUUGCACUCACCGAUAAAGAGUUGAGUGGCGAACGGGUGAGUAACACGUGGGCAACCUGCCCAAAAGAGGGGGAUAACACUUGGAAACAGGUGCUAAUACCGCAUAACCAUAGUUACCGCAUGGUAACUAUGUAAAAGGUGGCUAUACUACCGCUUUUGGAUGGGCCCGCGGCGCAUUAGCUAGUUGGUAGGGUAAAGGCUUACCAAGGCAAUGAUGCGUAGCCGAAUUGAGAGGUUGAUCGGCCACAUUGGGACUGAGACACGGCCCAGACUCCUACGGGAGGCAGCAGUAGGGAAUCUUCCACAAUGGGCGAAAGCCUGAUGGAGCAACGCCGCGUGAGUGAAGAAGGUCUUCGGAUCGUAAAACCCUGUUGUUAUAGAAGAAAGUGCGUGAGAGUAACUGUUCACGUUUCGACGGUACCUAACCAGAAAGCCACGGCUAACUACGUG